rnacentral:rRNA from 1 species
UACGAGGGGGGCAAAUGUUGUUCGGAAUCACUGGGCGUAAAGGGAGCGUAGGCGGGUUUCUAAGUCAGGUGUUUAAUCCCGGGGCCCAACCCCGGACAGGCACUUGAAACUGGGAAUCUUGAAUAGUGGAGAGGUCAGUGGAAUUGGGGGUGUAGCGGUGGAAUGCGUAGAGAUCCCCAAGAACACCAGUUGCGAAGGCGGCUGACUGGACACAUAUUGACGCUGAGGCUCGAAAGCAUGGGGAGCA